GUGCUGCAAAGCACGUCAAGACCAUCAGGUACAAGGUAGUGAAGAAAUAUUAAUAAUAAAUAGCAUGCCUCCUGUGCAAGGAUGACACGCAAAUUCAUGAAGCGUUCCAUAAUUUA
rnacentral:snRNA from 1 species